rnacentral:rRNA from 1 species
CAGUCGCCGCGGUAAUACGGAGGGGGCUAGCGUUGUUCGGAAUUACUGGGCGUAAAGCGCACGUAGGCGGCUUGGUAAGUUAGAGGUGAAAGCCUGGAGCUCAACUCCAGAAUUGCCUUUAAGACUGCCGAGCUAGCAGGUGAGAGAGGUAAGUGGAAUUCCGAGUGUAGAGGUGAAAUUCGUAGAUAUUCGGAAGAACACCAGUGGCGAAGGCGGCUUACUGGCUCAUACUGGACGCUGAGGUGCGAAAGCGUGGGGAGCAAACAGGAUUAGAGACCCGCGUAGUCCCUGUCUCUUAACC